AAACUUUCUUGGUUGAUAAGUGUGAUGAUUGAGUGUUCACGUUAUUUCAUGACAUAUGCCUCCCACAAACGUUGUUACUAUGUCAACACAUUAUCCAUCUGAUA